AGGAGUGGUUGAGGAAGACAAUCUAUGAUCCUGUGACCAAACGAUUCAUUCAUGCAUCUAAAUGCCUUGAUUCAUCCAACACAAACCUUAAUUUACUGCGGCGUAAAAGAUGGUACUUAUCCCUUCAAUGUCGGCCCUUCUUAUCACACCGAAGCAGAGUUCAGUAAUCGUUGGAUUGUUCACCCAUUAAUAGGGAACAAGACCUGGGGUUUAGACCGUUCGUGAGGUAAGUUAGUUUUUCCUUACUGAUGAAAUGUUGUUGCAAUAGUAGUUGAACUCAGUCCGAGAGGAACCGUCGAUUCAGAUAAUUGGUAUUUGAGCCUGCCUGAGUAGGCAAUGGCCCGAUGCAAUCAUCUGUCGGACUAUGACUGAACGCCUCUAUAUCAGGACCCGUGCUAGAACGCGACGAUUACCGCCUUUCCUGAUUUUUUGUUGAAUAAGAAUAAAUCUUCGGAUCCUGAAUCAUACUACAUGAGGUUCAUCUUGCAAAAUAGAAAGGCUUUAAGAUACUCAUGCUAUAGUUAAUUUCAAAUAUUGGAAGAGAUAUAACAUCCAUUGCAGACGACUUUAACUGAACGAGGUAUGCUUGCUACAAUCUGCUGAGAUUAAGCCAAUUGUUCUAUAGAUUU
rnacentral:ncRNA from 1 species